UAAAAUCUCAUAGGCAAAAGCUUGUAGCUCACUUUUGGAAAUAUUGAAUGAAAUUCUGCUCAUGAAAGCACAAUUCUCUCAACCGAAAGUCAUACUUCUUGCUUGUACUCCAUUGCUACUUUCUUCCAUUAUGGAGGCCUUCUNAAGUAGUUAACCACUCAUUCAAGCUUUCCUUCACCUCACCUUUCCAUAAUCACCAACAUUCCGCUGCAACCAUCCCUGGAGUCUCAUCAAACCGAGAGUUACUCCCUCUCUGCCAAACCAGCGCUGGAAUUCAACAUAGCUACUAUUCCAUUGGAUUUCAAGCUGUUCAGAGUAGAUUCUCAC
rnacentral:lncRNA from 1 species